CAGUUAAAAAGCUCGUAGUUGAACCUUGGGCCCGUCCUGCCGGUCCGCCUCACCGCGAGUACUGGUCCGGAUGGGCCUUUCUUUCUGGGGAAUCCCAUGGCCUUCACUGGCUGUGGCGGGGAACCAGGACUUUUACUGUGAAAAAAUUAGAGUGUUCAAAGCAGGCCUUUGCUCGGAUACAUUAGCAUGGAAUAAUAGAAUAGGACGUGCGGUUCUAUUUUGUUGGUUUCUAGGACCGCCGUAAUGAUUAAUAGGGAUAGUCGGGGGCGUCAGUAUUCAGCUGUCAGAGGUGAAAUUCUUGGAUUUGCUGAAGACUAACUACUGCGAAAGCAUUCGCCAAGGAUGUUUUCAUUAAUCAGGGAACGAAAGUUAGGGGAUCGAAGACGAUCAGGUACCGUCGUAGUCUUAACCAUAAACUAUGCCGACUAGGGAUCGGGCGGGGUUUCUAUGAUGACCCGCUCGGCACCUUACGAGAAAUCAAAGUUUUUGGGUUCUGGGGGGAGUAUGGUCGCAAGGCUGAAACUUAAAGAAAUUGACGGAAGGGCACCACAAGGCGUGGAGCCUGCGGCUUAAUUUGACUCAACACGGGGAAACUCACCAGGUCCAGACAAAAUAAGGAUUGACAGAUUGAGAGCUCUUUCUUGAUCUUUUGGAUGGUGGUGCAUGGCCGUUCUUAGUUGGUGGAGUGAUUUGUCUGCUUAAUUGCGAUAACGAACGAGACCUCGGCUCUUAAAUAGCCCGGUCCGCGUUUGCGGGCCGCUGGCUUCUUAAGGGGACUAUCGGCUCAAGCCGAUGGAAGUACGUGGCAAUAACAGGUCUGUGAUGCCCUUGGAUGUUCUGGGCCGCACGCGCGCUACACUGACAGGGCCAGCGAGUACAUCACCUUGGCCGAGAGGCCUGGGUAAUCUUGUUAAACCCUGUCGUGCUGGGGAUAGAGCAUUGCAAUUAGUUGCUCUUCAACGAGGAA
rnacentral:rRNA from 1 species